rnacentral:rRNA from 1 species
GACGAACGCUGGCGGCGUGCUUAACACAUGCAAGUCGAGCGAUGAAGCUCCUUCGGGAGUGGAUUAGCGGCGGACGGGUGAGUAACACGUGGGCAACCUGCCUUGUAGAGAGGAAUAGCCAUUCGAAAGGAUGAUUAAUACCUCAUAAUAUUGUAGUUUCGCAUGAAGCAACUAAUCAAAGGAGCAAUCCACUACAAGAUGGGCCCGCGGCGCAUUAGCUAGUUGGUGAGGUAACGGCUCACCAAGGCGACGAUGCGUAGCCGACCUGAGAGGGUGAUCGGCCACAUUGGGACUGAGACACGGCCCAGACUCCUACGGGAGGCAGCAGUGGGGAAUAUUGCACAAUGGGGGAAACCCUGAUGCAGCAACGCCGCGUGAGUGAUGACGGUCUUCGGAUUGUAAAGCUCUGUCUUCAGGGACGAUAAUGACGGUACCUGAGGAGGAAGCCACGGCUAACUACGUGCCAGCAGCCGAC